rnacentral:rRNA from 1 species
UGUUGGGUUAAGUCCGUAACGAGCGCAACCCUUGUCCUUAGUUACCAGCACGUUAUGGUGGGCACUCUAAGGAGACUGCCGGUGACAAACCGGAGGAAGGUGGGGAUGACGUCAAGUCAUCAUGGCCCUUACGGCCUGGGCUACACACGUGCUACAAUGGUCGGUACAAAGGGUUGCCAAGCCGCGAGGUGGAGCUAAUCCCAUAAAACCGAUCGUAGUCCGGAUCGCAGUCUGCAACUCGACUGCGUGAAGUCGGAAUCGCUAGUAAUCGUGAAUCAGAAUGUCACGGUGAAUACGUUCCCGGGCCUU